UCUCCAGUCUUCACCAUUCUCCAGGUGUUCUCAAAGAUGAUUGGAUAACAAGCUUGUGGAUAGAGGGGAAACAGUAGACAUGGUAUAUGGUGACUUCAGUAAUGCUUUUGAUGCUGUCUUGCAUGACCUUCUCCUAAACAAACUAGAGAAGUACAACUGGAAUGGAACUAUCAUUAGUCGAGAACAUCCAUCUGCGAGGAAAGAGCCGGGGGGAAUUGUGAUGUGACGUGACUGUCCUGUUCUGACACGUCCCCUUCAUGCCCUGACAGGCUGCAGUGUCACGUCCCAUCCUCCCAGGCAAGAGAGAUGGCUGCCGUGGGGCCAGCUCAGGUAGG